rnacentral:rRNA from 1 species
GAUGAACGCUGGCGGCGUGCCUAAUACAUGCAAGUCGAGCGAACAGACGAGGAGCUUGCUCCUUCGACGUUAGCGGCGGACGGGUGAGUAACACGUAGGUAACCUACCUAUAAGACUGGGAUAACUUCGGGAAACCGGAGCUAAUACCGGAUAAUAUUUCGAACCGCAUGGUUCGAUAGUGAAAGAUGGCUUUGCUAUCACUUAUAGAUGGACCUGCGCCGUAUUAGCUAGUUGGUAAGGUAACGGCUUACCAAGGCAACGAUACGUAGCCGACCUGAGAGGGUGAUCGGCCACACUGGAACUGAGACACGGUCCAGACUCCUACGGGAGGCAGCAGUAGGGAAUCUUCCGCAAUGGGCGAAAGCCUGACGGAGCAACGCCGCGUGAGUGAUGAAGGUCUUCGGAUCGUAAAACUCUGUUAUUAGGGAAGAACAAACGUGUAAGUAGCUGUGCACGUCUUGACGGUACCUAAUCAGAAAACCACGGCUAACUACGUG